CGCCGCGGGGCAUCCGCAGGCUCCUCCUCUGGGCGCGGCCUGCGGCUACCCUGCGGCGGCGCAGGUGCGGCCGGCUCCGCCUGGGGGCGGGCUGGUCGUGUGGCUGCCUCCUCCGCCGGACGGGGACGAGCUGGUAGGGGGACGCGGUGGUCGGGAACGCUGAGGUGAACUCGGGGCGGCCUUCUCAGCUGCCUGCGGCCCUGUCCUGAGGGGCCCCAGGAGCCAGAGGAGCAAAGAAAGAGCCUCCUCUGCCGCUGCCCUCUUCGGAGUCGGCACGUGGGGUACCGUGAGCAGAGCGCGGAGACCCCGUGUUCUCCCUUCGGGAGGGUGCAGGAGCGCCCGGAGGCUGCGAGGGGCGGGUUCUCCCUCCCCUGGGGCCUCCCCUCGGCCACCCGGCACGACCGUCUGGAUCCCCUCUGCACCUCCAUAGGUCCCUGCGCUCUGUCACAGCGUUACCGGGCUCCACGCGCACCAGCCACCAUGCAUGCUGUUUAUACUGCUAGUGAUGAGGAAACUGAGGCUUAAAAAGAAGUAAUGCCCCAAAGUUGGCAGCGGUGGAACAAAAGAGGGACAAGGAAGCGGACACCUCCUCUCGCUGGGGGUGGCAGAAAAGAGUCACAGUUUCCAAUCAAUAACUUAAGUGAGGACUUCCUGUACUGCAUCCUUCACUCCCCACGGAGAAGGCCUCUUGCCACGUGCUGGGUCUUGAGCCAGGUUUUGGGGGCUAAAGAGGUGAGGAAGACAAAGCCUAAUUUCAAUUUGGCCCCCUGGGCUAAGGAGGCAUCUAGAGGGAAUUGGGCCACUGGAGGUGAUUUCCAAGUUGAGGGGAGCUUGGUAAACAAGUGUCGACCUGGAGAAGAGGUGAAGGGUGGUAAAGGUGGAGGACCUGCCCUGAGGUUCUAAGCGCGUUUGGGGAGCAACAGCGAGCGGACAGAGAAGGGUCUGGAGAGAAGAUCAAGGGCCAGACCGGAAAGCCCUUGAGUUGCUGCCACAGCCUUUGCACAGUGAACGAACGGAAGGGCGCUGUG